rnacentral:tRNA from 1 species
GCAGUCGUGGCCGAGUGGUUAAGACGAUAGACUAGAAAUCCAUUGGGUUCUCCCCACACAGGUUCGAAUCCUGUCGACUGCG